rnacentral:rRNA from 1 species
ACAAAAUUCAACGGCCGCGGUACCCUAACCGUGCGAAGGUAGCAUAAUCACUUGUUCUUUAAAUAAGGACUUGUAUCAACGGCACCACGAGGGUUAAACUGUCUCCUUUUUCAUAUCAGUGAAACUAAUCUCCCCGUGAAGAAGCGGGGAUAAUUUUAUAAGACGAGAAGACCCCAUGGAGCUUUAAACCCAUCUACACUCCGCUUAACUCUACCUUUAAACCUCUCGGAUCCUGUAUGUUCUGGUUUUAGGUUGGGGUGACCGCGGAGCAUAAACUAACCUCCACAAUGAAUAAAUUUCUUCUUUAUCUAAGAUUAACACCUCUAAGAAUUAGUACUCUAACAUAAAAUGAUCCGAUAUUCGAUCAACGAACCAAGUUACCCUGGGGAUAACAGCGCAAUCUACUUCAAGAGCCCCUAUCGACAAGUAGGUUUACGACCUCGAUGUUGGAUCAGGGUAUCCCAGUGGUGCAGCAGCUACUAAAGGUUCGUUUGUUCAACGAUUAAAACCCU